UACGAAGGGGGCUAGCGUUGUUCGGAAUUACUGGGCGUAAAGCGAACGUAGGCGGUCCGGUAAGUCCGCUGUGAAAGUCGGGGGGCUCAACCCUCGGAUGCCGGUGGAUACUGUCGGGCUUGAGUACGGAAGAGGCGAGUGGAAUUCCUGGUGUAGCGGUGAAAUGCGCAGAUAUCAAGGAGGAACACCAAUGGCGAAGGCAGCUCGCUGGGACGUGACUGACGCUGAGACGCGAAAGCGUGGGGAGCAAACAGGAU
rnacentral:rRNA from 1 species